rnacentral:SRP_RNA from 1 species
AUCAAGUGUGAUGGUGCACCCUUGUAAUUCCUACUACCAGGGAGGCUGAGGCUGGAGCUCAUAAGCUCAGGAGUUCUGGGCUGCAGCAGGCUAUGACAGCUGGGUGUUUGCACUAAGUCUGACACCCACUGGGUGAGCCCGCUGGGAGCAGGGUCUGGGCAAAGAGGCAAAAUGUCCCAAGCUAAGGUGGGAAACAGAGCAGGUCAAAGCUUCCAUGCCAGUCAGUAGUGGGAUCUGGCUGUGAAUAGUUCCUGCACUUCUGGCCUGGUUGAGAUGGGAAGACCCAGUCUUAU